UAUCUCGCGCUGGUGAAGGGCGCAUGGCGUAACGCGAGGCAGGAGGUAAAGCUGCCGCUCCACAAGUACAACCUGGGGAGCGGCGAGCGGCGAGUGAAAGUGAGCGACGAAGGCGUCGCCUCGCACACCAUAUUCCGCCG
rnacentral:misc_RNA from 1 species